UCAUGGCGCUCCUGGCCACCGCUGCCCGGCCUGGCCGGUCUCCAGCGCCAGAUGCUUCGAGCACGUCGGUCAUCACUGCGUUGUUGUGGUCAAACAGGAUGGACGGCGCCACGAAGGAGUAUCCCUACGGAGAGGGGGCGUGACUCCCCCCCAAAUGCCAAGGACAUCAUCUGACACAAUGGAGUAGCCCAGAAAAUGAUGCGCCAAAUGCACGAAAGGACGGUGGCCUGGCAUCACACACCUAGCUUAUGAGAAUUCACCUCUCCCCACUGAGGACAAAACAUCUUUAUUCCUUCCUGUCAAAUCAAACUUUGGCCUCCUCUGCCGGGGGGCUACUGAGGAAAGUUAUGGGUGACCAAUAACUUGUAAGCAAAAACUGUGAGAUAGGAAUCCGGGAAAAGAGCCUCAAGAGGAGGGUGAACAGUUGGCAAGUGCUCUUUUUCCCCUUCCCCUCCUUCUUCCUGCUUCCUGCCUGGACAGCAGCCUCAAUGGCAAGAGCUCCAGCAGUCAUCUUGGACCAUGAGGCAACCAUGGGGAUGGAGGCUCCAUGCUAAGAAUGGAGGAGCAUUAAAAAAGAAAAAAGGAGCUUGGAUUCAUUGAAGACAUCACAGCAGCCCUGGCCUGCCAACCUCUGGACUUCUUUUAUGUGAGAAAGAAAUAAAGAAACCUCCAUCUUGUUUAGACCACUGUUCAUUCUGAUCUCUGUUAGCAGCCAAACUCUAUUCCGUGGGUAUCGCCAUUUUGAGUUGGCCUUUUUGUCGCUUGCAGCCAAGAAGCCUGACCUAGACUUGAAGGCCUGGGUUCUGACACCAGGGACUUCAGCAUUGCUGUCAUCAAAGAGACUGUCUCUUUGAGGGGGGUACCUUCCGAGUGUCAGGCCUCAAAGACCUUGGGCGGGGCUGGGGGGGGGGAGGGCCUCUCCAGUAAGACUACUGGUCAACCUGCUCCCCAUGCCCAGGGCCCAGCAUGCCCUCAGGGUGGAAUUCACUUAAGGAAAGUGACACUGCUCACCUCCCCCCACAAAGGGACAUGUUUGCUGCAGAGACAUAGAUCCUGCCUGAGAAGGCAUCUCUGAGGGCCCUUCCAGGGGGGUAUUUGCUGGGAAGGUUCCAGGAGAGGGCACUCGUAGCAGAGGAAACGAGUGCCUGGCCCACAAUAAAUGACCCUAAAUGGGCGUUUUUGUCACGAUGUCAGACAGGCGGCAAAUCCGAUGCCCACGUGUAAACAGCACGCAGUGGUUAAGAGCGUGGGCCUUGAAGUCGCCCAGACGUGGCUUUGAAUCUGAGCUCCAUCACUUCCUGGCUGGGCAACCUUGGGCAAAUUACUUAACCUCUCUGAACCUCAGUUUCCUCCUCUGUAAAGAUGAAGAUAAUAAUCAGGAUGGUUCUGAGGGUGACAUGAAAGAACUCGAAUCACAGGGCUGACACAUAGUAGGUGUUCACUCUUACAGGGUCCUGCUAGGCAGCAAUACUGGCCACGUCUGGUGCCCGAGCCAGCAAGUUCUCACAAGGACACGGAACUCUCUGGACACGGCAUUCCUACUGUGUGUGCUCUUAAGUGAACAGAACCCACGUGGCUGAUCGACUGUCCAUCUGAAUGACAGGCACACAGACUCAACGGGGACAAAGAAUAAAACACCUGGGUGAACCCUAAGAGCCAGAAGUGUGGCUUUUAGUGCUGAUUUGGGCCGACAGGAGACCUGGGGUCUGUUCCCAGCUCUACCCCACUUACUGUGCCAUCCUGAGUGGGUCACCUCCCUUCUCUGAACCUGUCCAAUGAAAGCACUGGCAAACCCAUUCUCAGGUCCCUGCCAGCCCUGACAGUCAAUGAGCCUGGAAUUCUCUCCCCGACAAGCACAGCUUCUGGGUUUCAAGAGAGAUGGAUGAGAAGACGAGCUUCCUUCACCUGGGGGGGUUUCUAAGUCAAGUGGAAUUGGCCAGUCUCGGAGCCACCCCACCCCGGUGCCCCUCAGCAGAGCAGCAGUCCAGCCCAGGUGUGUGUGGAGGGAUGUGGGGGCGAGUCAGGAG